AGAGUUUCCUUCUUUCUUCCAACUGAAUUUGGUUUCCCAUACUUUUCGUUCCUCACCUGCUCCUCGUUCUCUUCUCUCUCUCUCUCUCUCUGCGGAUACAUACACCUACGCCGGUAACGCCAAACCAUCUAUCGAUCGAUCUUCUUUCACAUGGCUGAAGGGGAUAAUGAAUCGCCCAGACCUCGGGCUUCUCCCUAUGACGAGGCAGUGGAUGCUUUGUCAUCUCUGAUAACGAAACGCAGCCGUGCGGAUAAGAGCAACAAAGGCGAUCGAUUCGACAUUCUGUACGAUUAUAUCAAGAUGCUGGAUUUGGAGGAGCCGAUUUCGAAGAUGAAGGUUAUUCAUGUUGCUGGAACCAAAGGAAAGGGAUCAACCUGCACGUUUGCAGAAUCUAUAUUACGUAAUUGUGGCUUCCACACUGGACUUUUCACAUCUCCUCACCUCGUUGAUGUCCGAGAACGAUUUCGACUGGAUGGCAUGGACAUAUGCCAAGAGAAGUUUCUCGCAUAUUUCUGGUGGUGUUGGAAUACACUAAAGGAAAAAACCAGUGAUGAUAUACCUAUGCCUGCUUACUUUCGCUUCCUUGCAUUACUUGCCUUCAAAAUAUUUGCUGCAGAACAGGUAGAUGUUGUUAUCUUGGAGGUUGGGUUAGGUGGAAAGUUUGAUCCGACAAAUGUGGUACAGACACCAGUUGUAUGUGGUAUAUCGUCCCUUGGGUAUGAUCACAUGGAAAUUCUUGGAAAUACUCUUGGAGAAAUUGCAGGGGAGAAGGCUGGUAUCUUUAAGCAAGGAGUUCCUGCCUUUACUGUGCCCCAACCUGAUGAAGCAAUGUGUGUACUUGAAGAGAAGGCUUCCCAGUUGGAUGUAAAACUACAAGUAGCACCCGUGUUGGAUGCGACUCUGUUGAAUGGUCUACAUCUUGGGCUGGAUGGUGAGCACCAAUAUCUAAAUGCUGGUCUUGCCAUUGCUUUAUGUUCUACUUGGCUCCAAAGGACCGGUCACAAUGAAAUCAACUACCUGGAUCAAACUAAUUCUCUGCCUGAACAAUUCCUUAAAGGGCUUACAACAGCUACUUUACAAGGACGGGCUCAGAUUGUCCCUGAUCGGUUGAUUGGUGCUGAAAGCCCAGGAGAUCUGUUGUAUUAUUUGGAUGGAGCCCAUAGUCCUGAAAGCAUGGAAGUAUGUGGAAAAUGGUUUAGUCAUGCCAUCACUGGAGAAAGCAGACAACAAAAUGCAAGCAAUCAACGACAAGAAAACUCCACUCAGAUAUUGCUGUUCAAUUGUAUGUCAGUGAGGGACCCACAGUUGCUUCUUCCGUGCCUGAUUAAUACAUGUGCUAAUCAUGGAGUACACUUCCAGAAGGCGCUUUUUGUACCGAACAUAUCUGUAUAUUACAAAGUGUUGUCCAGUGCCUUACCACCAACCGAUUCCCAGGUUGAUCUGUCAUGGCAACUGACUCUUCAAAAUGUAUGGAAGAACCUCAUUGGCAUUGAAAAAGGAAGGGAUGCCAGAGAUAGAGACCUUGUCUAUGAAGAAAAUGACAAAAGCAAGGAGAGUGGAGUUAGGAGUUGUGAGAGCAGCAUGGUUUUUCCCUCGCUUCCCACUGCUAUCAAAUGGUUGCGGGACUCUGUGCAGCAGAAUAAGUCUGUUCGUUUUCAGGUGCUCGUAACUGGUUCGUUACAUCUUGUGGGUGAUGUAUUAAGAUUAGUCAAGAAGUGAGACAUGAGAGUUGAGUUUGUAUCGCUGCUUCGGAAUGUCGUUCAAACUGCAACCUUUGUGUUAGGGAAGGCGAUGAUUGUUACAUUUUAUUUUAUGGGAAAUGAUUUGAGAUGAAUGGAGGACAACAAAUACAAUCUAGUCAAAAUAA